rnacentral:lncRNA from 1 species
AACUUUUCCAACCCCCUGCUAAGACAGGGCUACCCAGAGCCACUUGCCCAGAGGAACUGAGGAAAGAAACUCCUCUUUUGGCUCCUGGGGUCAGUGCUGGGUGUAACUCAGCAUUUCACUCCCAAUAAUCAUGGAAGAGCAGCAUGUUCUGAUACUUCUCAUAGAGGGAAUGUAAAACUUCCCUGAGGAUGAACUCCCAAGGCAGCAGAGUCAGGAUCUUCACUGGGAAGGGCCCUGUGUGGUCAGGGCUGGGCUCAGAGUGUUUGUUCCCCACAGCACCUGAAGAAUACUGGAUGGGAGCUCAGCAGGACAUGAAGGGACCAGAUACCUCUUUCUUUGUUGAGCCACCAGUGCCCCCCUCAGCCACAGAGGCCAUCAGGACAAGCCUGCCCGAGAGCCCCACGGCAGCAGCAGCCCCUGGGGAUGUUCCUGCUGCAGCCUCAGCAUUCCCAGGAGAAGCUGCAGCCACGGAUGCACCAAAGGGCUCCACGCCAGGUGCAGCCUCUGUUCCCGACGCCGCGUCGCUCCCCGCAGAGAGAGCUGGAGCUGUCCCUGCUGCAGACACCAAACCUCCCCCAGCUCCAGGGGCUGCAGCUCCUGCAGCAGCUGCCAACCCUUUCCAGACCACGGAUUUGGGGUUUUCUCCUGCACCUGAAGCCAACCCUCCCAAAGGCGUCAAUGACAUCUCCACCCCGGGCACGGAGCUCGGCUUCGCCCCGGCCACAGA